rnacentral:lncRNA from 1 species
GCAAGGAACAAUAGGCUUCUCUCUUGACUUUUUUAUUAUUUUCAUAUGCUUAAUAAAUUCAGGAAUGACAAAGUUGAAAUACAACCAACUACAUAGAAGUACAAAAAACCCUAAGGGACUAUUAUGAACACCUCUCUGCAGACAAACUAGAAAACCUAGAAGAAAUAUAUAAAUCCCUCGAAACAAGGAAUUUAUCUAUUUCUCCACCCAAGAUUAUUUAACCUCCUGACAUUAAGCCAGGAAGAAAUUGAAAUCCUGAACAGACCAAUAAUGGGUUCUGAAAUUAAGUCAGUGAUUAAAAAAAACCUACCAACCAAAACAAGCCCUGGACCAGAUGGAUUAACAACCAACUCCUACCAGACAUAUAAAUAAGAGUUGGUACAAAAUCUUCUGAAAUUAUUUUAAAAAUUGAGAAGGGAAUACUCUCUAAGUCAUUCUGUGAAGCCAGCAUCAUUCUGAUACCAAAAUUAGGCACAAAUACGACAAAAAAAAGUAAAGUUCGGGCCAACAUUCCUGAGGAAUAUAGACACACAAUCCUCCACGAAAUACCAGCAAACCAAAUCCAGCAGCACAUCAAAAAGUGAAUUCACCACGAUCAAGUAGGCUUUAUUUCUGGGAUGCAAGGUUGGUUCAACAAGUGCAAAUCAGUAAAUGUGAUUCACCACAUAAACAUAAUUAAAUACAAAAACCACAUGAUCAUCUCAAUAGAAGCAAAAUGAUUUUUCAUAACAUUCAGCAUCCUUUCUUGUUAAAAACCCUCAAUAUACUGGGCACCAAAUGAACUUAUCUCAAAAAAAUAAGAGCCAUCUAUGACACACCCACAGCCACCAUCAUACUAAACAAGUAAAAUCUGGAAGCAUUCCUCUUGAGAACUGGAACAAUUUGAACAAUUCAGUUUUCAAUUUCUCAUCAAAAAUUGUGUUGACAUGAUUGAUUGAAGUAUUUUAUCCCCCUUUCUCCCAAAUACCAGGCCACAGACAGCAUGAAAUAUUUUAAAUAAACAUUAAAAUAAAUAAGUCCAGAUUGGUCAUUAAAUCGAGUAUUUUUUUUUAUUGUAUAAACUCAAGAUGUACAACAUGUUUUGAUGUAGAUAUCUAUAGUGAAAUAAUUACCACAUGCUAGCAAAUUAACACAUCCAUCACUGUCUGCAGUUUACUUUUUUGUGAUAAAAACACAUAUAAUCUAGUUAUUCUCUUAGCAAAUUUGUAAUGUAUAAUAAAAUAGAACUAUAGUCCUUCUGUUGUACAUUAGAUCUCUAAAUAUCUUUAUGUUACAUAACUGUAAUUUUGUCUUCUUUUACCUACAUUAUCCCAAUUUGUCUACUUCCCUGACUCUGGCAACUGCCCUUCAACUCCCUAUUUAUCUUACUCAAUUUCCAUUUAUUUUACACAUAAAUGAGCUCAUGCUGCAUUUUUCUUUCUGUGCCUGACUUGUUUCACUUGGCAUAUUGUACUCCAUACUUUAAAAUUUAUUAAGCUUAAAGAAUUAAACAAGUAAGCUCUAGUUGCCUAAGAAGUUAAUGUACCCAGAAAUAUAAAUUUCUGAACAAUCAUGGAAAAUGUGUUACAACUAUAUCUUCUUUCAAGUAGGUCUUGUAAAUAUUUUCUGUAUUAAUACUGACUAUGCUCUCGUUUGGUUGUCAUUCUAUUCUGAGUUUUUAACCCUCUUGUUUAACCCAAUCUCUCCUCCUCAAAAAUGAAUAAAUGCAUUGACUCAA